UGAGGUUGGGCUCAGUGGUAGAGCGCUUACCUCGCAUGUGCGAGGCCCUGGGUUCGAUCCUCAGCACCACAU
rnacentral:tRNA from 1 species